rnacentral:rRNA from 1 species
GAUGAACGCUGGCGGCGUGCCUAAUACAUGCAAGUCGAGCGAACAGAUAAGGAGCUUGCUCCUUUGACGUUAGCGGCGGACGGGUGAGUAACACGUGGGUAACCUACCUAUAAGACUGGGAUAACUUCGGGAAACCGGAGCUAAUACCGGAUAACAUUUGGAACCGCAUGGUUCUAAAGUGAAAGAUGGUUUUGCUAUCACUUAUAGAUGGACCCGCGCCGUAUUAGCUAGUUGGUAAGGUAACGGCUUACCAAGGCGACGAUACGUAGCCGACCUGAGAGGCUGAUCGGCCACACUGGAACUGAGACACGGUCCAGACUCCUACGGGAGGCAGCAGUAGGGAAUCUUCCGCAAUGGGCGAAAGCCUGACGGAGCAACGCCGCGUGAGUGAUGAAGGGUUUCGGCUCGUAAAACUCUGUUAUUAGGGAAGAACAAAUGUGUAAGUAACUGUGCACGUCUUGACGGUACCUAAUCAGAAAGCCACGGCUAACUACGUG